rnacentral:rRNA from 1 species
AACGAACGCUGGCGGCAUGCCUAACACAUGCAAGUCGAACGAAGCCUUCGGGCUUAGUGGCGCACGGGUGCGUAACGCGCGGGAAUCUGCCCUUGGGUUCGGAAUAACAGGUAGAAAUGACUGCUAAUACCGGAUGAUGUCCUCGGAUCAAAGAUUUAUCGCUCAAGGAUGAGCCCGCGUAGGAUUAGGUAGUUGGUGGUGUAAUGGCCCACCAAGCCGACGAUCCUUAGCUGGUCUGAGAGGAUGAUCAGCCACACUGGGACUGAGACACGGCCCAGACUCCUACGGGAGGCAGCAGUGGGGAAUAUUGGACAAUGGGCGAAAGCCUGAUCCAGCAAUGCCGCGUGAGUGAUGAAGGCCUUAGGGUUGUAAAGCUCUUUUACCAGGGAUGAUAAUGACAGUACCUGGAGAAUAAGCCCCGGCUAACUCCGUGCCAGCCGCCGCAGUAAGAC